UUCAAUUGCAGGUUUGACAGGAAGCUCAGGAACACAUAUGAUCAUCUUCUUUUUAGCAGAAGUCCACUUCUUAGUGUGUAUGCUGACAUGUCUGUGACGUGUAAGG